CAGUCUGUUUUUGUUUUGACACCGUUAUUGUAAAGAGCUCUUCACAGAAGUCCACAAGCAAGGACACAGUCGUCAUUCUACACUACGGUUAAAACAUACGGGUGACGAAAUGGCAUCGGACUCCCCAUGCCGACCUAGUCGCUGUGCUGGAGGGGUUCUGGUGCGGGCACAAGCUGCUACGGAGCAGUCUUACAUGGAAAGUGUGGUGACCUUCCUGCAGGAUGUGGUACCCCAGGCAUACACUGGAGCUCCGCCCACUGAUGAAAAAGAGAAAAUCAUUUGGGUUCGAUUUGAGAAAGCUGACAUCAACG